GACGAACGCUGGCGGCGUGCUUAACACAUGCAAGUCGAACGGAAAGGCCCUGCUUUUGUGGGGUGCUCGAGUGGCGAACGGGUGAGUAACACGUGAGUAACCUGCCCUUGACUUUGGGAUAACUUCAGGAAACUGGGGCUAAUACCGGAUAGGAGCUCCUGCUGCAUGGUGGGGGUUGGAAAGUUUCGGCGGUUGGGGAUGGACUCGCGGCUUAUCAGCUUGUUGGUGGGGUAGUGGCUUACCAAGGCUUUGACGGGUAGCCGGCCUGAGAGGGUGACCGGCCACAUUGGGACUGAGAUACGGCCCAGACUAGUACGGGAGGCAGCAGUGGGGAAUAUUGCACAAUGGGCGGAAGCCUGAUGCAGCAAAGCCGCGUGCGGGAUGACGGCCUUCGGGUUGUAAACCGCUUUCGCCUGUGACGAAGCGUGAGUGACGGUAAUGGGUAAAGAAGCACCGGCUAACUACGUG
rnacentral:rRNA from 1 species